GCGACUGCGGAGGUGAGGCAGCGGUGGGCCCGGCCGCAGCAAUGGCACCUCGGCUGCCAUGGUGGCACUCGGCCCGGCCAGAGACUGGGCCCAGCCGGAGACUGGGGCAGGAACUUGAGUGGCAGCAGCAGCAGAAGUGGGACCCCUGCAGGAGGGACAAGGAAACCCUGCUUGGAAUGCAAGAGGGGGCAGACAGCGAGAGAGAGGCGACAGAAAUCAGUUGGGUGACGGCAGAUGGCCAGACGGUGAAAAGAGGAGAAGGUACUUUUGUUUAUGUGGCAGUUCAUUCCAUGGCAACGCAUAGCAUCUGGGCAAGAAAAGUAAUCACCUAGAAGGUAUCAUCAUUCGGCUCAUGAGAUUCAAGGUUUUUUUGGAGGACCGGCAAUAACUGAAACAAGGAAGAGAGGAAGAGUUCCUUGAAAUUUCAUUUCCCAAGCAUAGGAGUUUUUUUUUUUUUCAGCACCACUAUGCCAGUGGCUCAAGAAUUCAAGCUGUUAUAGCAUCACACCUGCUCUGUGAAGUCAUCCUUUGUUAUGGAUUUCAUUGUAAGCUAAUGUGGUAGCCAGUCUUGUCUGUCAAGCAGGGCAGAUGUUUCGUUCGUUAAAAUUGUGUGCUGCUUCAGCUUCAUUCAGUCUGUAUAAUCAAGGGGUGUUUGUGUGUGUGUGUGUGUGUGUGUGUGUGUGUGUGUGUGUGUGUGUGUGUGUGUGUGUGAGAGAGAGAGAGAGAGAGAGAGAGAGAGAGAGAGAGAGAGACCUAUUUUCCUUUGCUAUGUAAACCAUUUUGAGAAUUCUUUUUGUUGAAAAGUGGUACAUUUAUAUACUCUAAAUAAAUAAUUUGA